UCAACAAGAAUCUUGCUUCAGGGGUUUACACACGGAGUACUUAGUUACUUAAAUAACCUCGGGAAGGUCUGAGAUAAAUUCACUAACCUUCCAGCCGAAGGCCUUCUUGACAAAGUUGGGCAGGAGAACCAGAAAUUGGUCCAGUUCUAAAAUUUUUGGGUCUGAGACGCCAUUGGCUGAGACAAUAAUUUUAGAAACUGUUGGAAUCUCCUGUGAUUCGCAUUUUUAGUUCAAUUUGCAAGGUUCUAGCUUUAUGUUAGAAUAACUCAAUUCAGACUAAUCUCUUGUUGA